rnacentral:lncRNA from 1 species
UCACAAGGGCCUUGAACAGGAGGUACCUGAAGAGAUAUUAUCCUAGCAUAUGGGUCGAUGCAUAACUAAUUACGGAGUAUAUCAAGAUAGCAUGGCCAGUUUCUAUUAGACCUUAUAGCCGAUGCAAAGAUAAAGUCGCCUUGAGAACAAAACAUUCAUCCGAGUUGGCCGAUUUAUUAUUCAGUACGAACGAUGGGGUGCAAGGCCGACACAGUACAAGUCACCCUUAGAACAAAAGUACCAACACAUCUAUUAACCACGCUUUUUCUUAAGUUCCC